rnacentral:tRNA from 1 species
AAGGUUUUAAGUUAAACAAACUAGUAGCCUUCAAAGUUAAAAAUAAAUUAGAUUUAAACCUUA